UACAAUCACUGUCUGGGAGAAGGGAGGUGUGUUUGGGUAGCUAUUUAGAGCAGAUAACCUGUGAUUACUCCCUAGGACGAAGGAAUUUGGGCUGGCAAACCCAGAGGAGUCGAGAGACCUAGAAGUUAUGGAAGAGGCUUAGGGAAAGGCAGCAAGCUUCAGGAGGGAACAGAUCAUGGCUGCUGUCUAGUGGGUCCCUGAGCUGGAACUCAAAGCAGAGAGUGGGUCUGGGUUCCCCUACUGGCCACUGGGGAAGUGGCACCAUCAGAGCAGUGCUGAAGAAUGACUGCCUCAGACUGACUGUUUGUGCGAAAGGACUUUGGUACCCCUGAAAGGGGAAAACAUGUAGUGAAGUGACCUGUCUGGAGGGCUGAGUCAUGAAGAGGUGGCUGCAGUUCCUGGAAUGAGAGAGGGGCUGCGGAGAGAGGAAAAGACAGAGUGAUUGAGUGGGACCACUGGAAAGGGCAUAGGCCUGUCAGAGCUAAUCCCUGUAUCUGCUAGGAGGUGGUGCAGUCCAGGGAUGAGUAAAGCCCAUACCACACUCCUAUUGACAUCAGCAUCGUAGGAUCAGGUCCUAAAUAUAUUUGAUUUAGCAUGGCUGGAUUUACUGGGGAGGAUGUUCCACAGGAAUAGGGACCCAAAUCUGAAAGUGGCUGAACAUCUUCACUUUCCCCUAAAGCAAUGGCCCCCAGACUUUUCAUGGUUGUGAGCCCCAUACCCCUGUCUGUGCCCCUCCCCAGGAAACAGGGAAGGGAGCACAGACAGGGGUAAUGGGGCUGCAGCUGGGGGCACAGCUGUGGCUGGGAGCACUGCUGGGGGCAGGGUUGGGGCCAGGUCAGGAGGGGAAGCUGGCCCAGGCUCUGCUGCACCCCCCACGAACAUUCCUCUGUACUCCCCCUUCGGGGGGUGUCUCACAGUUUGGGGACUUCUGCACUAAAGCCAAUGGGAUCUGAGGAUGCUCCAUUGCUUUUGGGGGGAUCAGCAUCUCCCAGCUCUGGAACCUAAGGAUGCAAGUUUUAAAGAAUGCUAGGUCCAGUGCAGAGAGGUGAAAGCCAAUGCAGAACACACCCAUAAGGGAACAGCAGCAGGAACCGUCCAAAAAACACUGGGUGUUGGAUUUAGACUGAAGGCUCCCUCAGCCCAC